CCCUGGCUUGACAGCUGGUUUCAUCUGCAAGCCGGGGUGGAAUGCGUGGUCUCGUGGUCUCUCACUUGCUGUUCUUUUCCGUUUCCAGAGGGCCAGUGGCCUGGUGGUUUCCGUGGCAACCAGAAGGAAGCUGGCUGGCCUACCAGUUUUAUUAACCACACAGCGGGAGAGAACCUGUCUCUCUGGGGCUGUAAGCCGGGAAAUUUCCAGAAGAAACUGAGGGUACUGCCGCUGUAGACUGACCCCAAAGGAGAAGCGCAAAUGGAAGAAAGUCUACCCUGGCAGGAAAUUGGAUGGAUUAAUAGCGGACUGAGGAGAUGCCUCGAUACUUUUACAUCUACGAUUUGUUCCACGCUCUUAAGCCUGAUAAAUUGUUACUUGUGAAUCCGACUGAGCAACGAGAAGCCUCAUCUGCUGUGGGAGAUUGGAGAAAUAAUGGACAAGAGGAGAAGACAAAACUUUAAGAAAAAAGGAGGGGGGGAGGAAUAAGAUAAAAACCGGCAUUGUAAAUAUAUUUCAAAUUCAUUUGCUGUAA